rnacentral:rRNA from 1 species
RGCUUGCACCUUUCAAGCGAGUGGGAACGGGUGAGUAACACGUGGAUAACCUGCCUCAAGGCUGGGGAUAACAUUUGGAAACAGAUGCUAAUACCGAAUAAAACUUAGUAUCGCAUGAUACAAAGUUGAAAGGCGCUACGGCGUCACCUAGAGAUGGGUCCGCGGUGCAUUAGUUAGUUGGUGGGGUAAAGGCCUACCAAGACAAUGAUGCAUAGCCVAGUUGAGAGACUGAUCGGCCACAUUGGGACUGAGACACGGCCCAAACUCCUACGGGAGGCUGCAGUAGGGAAUCUUCCACAAUGGGCGAAAGCCUGAUGGAGCAACGCCGCGUGUGUGAUGAAGGCUUUAGGGUCGUAAAGCACUGUUGUAUGGGAAGAAAUGCUAGGAUAGGGAAUGAUUCUAGUUCGACGGUACCAUACCAGAAAGGGACGGCUAAAUACGUGCCAGCAGCCGCGGUAAUACGUAUGUCCCGAGCGUUAUCCGGAUUUAUUGGGCGUAAAGCG